ensembl:lincRNA
CUACUGGUUCCGUUAACUUACUGUGUCAGUAACAACUAGUGCAAAUUCAAAGCCUUCUCUUUGGGUUUGGAUCUCCAGCUACCUGGGUGGCAACUUGGUAGUCUUCUCUGUUACAUAUUUAAUUUACUUAAAAUAAUCUGUCCCUGGAGACAGAUUAAUUUCCCUCUAGAGAGGGAAAGCUGGAAAAGAAUUUUCUUCUAAAUGUCAAUCAAUAAAUAUUAGUUAAGUACCUGUUAUUUUUCUAGAAAUUGUCCUAGAUACUGUGUUAUUAAUGGGUAAACAAGACAGACACAGUCCCUGCCUUGGAAGGACUUGUAGUCAAAUGAACUAAAGAUGGAAAGGAUAUUCCUGGGGAUUUGGUUGGUUACAGCAGAAGAGUAAGGGAAGAUGAUGGAGAAGAAACUGAUCUGAAGAGAUGUUGUCUGUGUUAUUUCAUUACAGCAGCAGCAAUUUCUCAAUAAACAAGGGAUUUCCUAUAAGAUUUUAAAUGAAGAAAGUCUUCUACUGCUGUAUAAAAAAAAGAAAAAAGAAGAAGAAAGGUACUUACUGCCAGAUCUAAAAUUAAAUUAUUAUGUGAAUAAUGUAUUCAGAUGAUAUA